rnacentral:rRNA from 1 species
UACGUAGGGGGCAAGCGUUGUCCGGAAUCAUUGGGCGUAAAGAGCGUGUAGGCGGCUCGGUAAGUCCGCUGUGAAAGUCCAGGGCUCAACCCUGGAAUGCCGGUGGAAACUGUCGAGCUAGAAUCCGGAAGAGGAGAAUGGAAUUCCCGGUGUAGCGGUGAAAUGCGCAGAUAUCGGGAAGAACACCCGUGGCGAAGGCGGUUCUCUGGGACGGUACUGACGCUGAGACGCGAAAGCGUGGGGAGCGAACAGG